GCUGCUGUAGCGUAGUGGUAGCGCGGCGCCUUGGUAAGGCGCAGGUCGUGGGUUCGAUCCCCACCAGCAGCU
rnacentral:tRNA from 1 species